CCGAAACCCGGUGAUCUAGCCAUGGGCAGGUUGAAGGUUGGGUAACACUAACUGGAGGACCGAACCGACUAAUGUUGAAAAAUUAGCGGAUGACUUGUGGCUGGGGGUGAAAGGCCAAUCAAACCGGGAGAUAGCUGGUUCUCCCCGAAAGCUAUUUAGGUAGCGCCUCGUGAAUUCAUCUCCGGGGGUAGAGCACUGUUUCGGCAAGGGGGUCAUCCCGACUUACCAACCCGAUGCAAACUGCGAAUACCGGAGAAUGUUAUCACGGGAGACACACGGCGGGUGCUAACGUCCGUCGUGAAGAGGGAAACAACCCAGACCGCCAGCUAAGGUCCCAAAGUCAUGGUUAAGUGGGAAACGAUGUGGGAAGGCCCAGACAGCCAGGAUGUUGGCUUAGAAGCAGCCAUCAUUUAAAGAAA
rnacentral:rRNA from 1 species